AAAAAAAUCACGACCAGGCACUAACACGUACCUCUACAACAGAGCCGAAGGUUACAUAGAAAUAAUCCCGCACAACAACCAGGCGGGCCGGCUGUCUAAUAAAGACAAACUAAUUAAACAUGAACAGGUGCUACCACUAAACAUACAAGGAGGGGGAGGAAAAACAAUCAGUGGCAGCUAAUAGGCCGGUGACGACGACCGCCGAGCGCCACCCGCCCGGGAAGGGGAAACACCCUCGGUCGGACUCGUGACAGCAGCCCCAGUGCAGGUCUGGACCGUUUGGUUAGCAUCCUAGAGCGGGUUCCUUCAGAGCGGUCCUCUGACAGUCCUACUGUGGUCCCGCUGUCAGGUGACUGGUCCGCGACUGGUGGCUCUGCCUGACCUGACUGCCAACCAGUUGCACCACCACAACAAGAACCUCUUCCUCCCCCAGCCGUACAACCUACUACUGGCCAGAGGAAUGCUCACCACACUGGAGAGAACCUGCCAGGCUCUGAGAGGAUCAUGGAGAACCUGGUGUUGAAGAACAAAAAGGCCCAGUUUGUCGUCACCUGUAAACUGCUGCUGCUUCAAUACAAGUAUGAGACUCAUGUGUUAAGGAUUCUUCUCGGCUACCUGGCACAGGAUAGUGAGAGAAGGUCAUUAUUUAUAUAGGUGGCCACUUAGAUGGGCAGAGCUCUGUUGGACUUUGCCUGGGCUGUACGCUACCGCGUUGACCAGCGAGUAAAUCUGAACACAGGAUGGUGCGACAAGGAGUCCUGUUUGCUGUCUGCUCUGUCUUUCUGAGCAUGCCAAGUCAGAGUUUGCUGGUGGAGCUCCGUGAUCAGCUAUUUGAGACAAGAGCAUGGCUGGCAGAUGUAGCUGAAGGGGACCCUGAUGGAGACUGCGGGAACCUGGCCGUGCAGAGCCUGGUGCUGCUGGAGAAUAGCCUGAAGACUGGAUUGGACCCUGCUCCACUGGGCCUGCCGUCACGAUCACGACAUGAUGAUACACAGUGGACCUUGAAGUCCUAUCCCGCUGGUGCAUAAACGGCAACAGCCAGUGUUUUGGUUGUCACUGCCGGUGUACUGGUAGUGACUGCCUUGGGACACUGGUUGUGAGAGGAUUACAAAUGAUGCUUGCCACUAGGAACUGGCUGGCAGAGGGCCCGAGGAUGUUACGGAUCCUGGAUCCUGGACACUGAAGGACGUCCUUUUAGUUAGAGCUGCAGGUGCGGCUGGCCCACCAUACCCUGGAACGAAUGAAUGCCAAGCCAAAGGAAAGAGAGAGAUGAAUGACAUGUAUUAAAACGUUUGUGUGGAGGAUGACUUUUUGCUCUCUUUUCUGCGCAUCCUUAUCCCGGAGAAAGACCAUGCGUAAUGUGGACAUAGUUGUGUACUUCAACAAGAUAUUUUUUGGAAGAUUAUUUUCUGCUGCCUGAAAAGGAAGUGUCAUGUAUUUAAAAGAAAAAGAGAAAGCACUAGCUCAGUUGCACGGGUGCCACUAUGUUUCUGUUCUCAUGUUUGCUGUGACAAUGAGUGUCAAGUAGUUGGCAAGACGGCACCAACAGAUCUGGGACCAGGCUAGGUAAAUUGCUCCGGGCUUCUUUAUGUUUCAGGACCAUUUAGGGCGCCGAACACUUACAAAGCCUUGCCCUCCUGAGUAGAAUGAAGAAUAUUGUAUUUUUCUGACAAGCAAAGGUACACAAUCUGCAACACUUCAUGUCGCACAUGUGAUGGACUGAAUGUUAAUCUCAUACAUUUUGUGGUGUCCUCAAAUCAAAUGUACAGAAUUCAAACAGAAACUUCAAUAUGAAUAUAAAGUGCAUUUGGAAAAUA